AUUUUUUUUUAUUUUAAAUAUUCGUUUUCGGAACAGAGUAGAAUCAGUGCUUCUCUCAAGAGAAUACGGCGAUCAUCCACCACGCGAAGAGAUGCCGAUGAUCUUUAUGAAGAUUUGUUUUUGGACUAAUCUUAAAAAAUAUUUGUGACCGCGCGCAAUGCGGUUAAUCAGAAUCAGUGUUUGCUUCGUCAUAGUAUUUUGAAUAUUUUUUAGAGCGCAACAGCUCUGAUUAAAUUUAAUUAAAAUAAUCAAACGCGAAGGUAGAAUCAGUGUUUGUUCGCCGAUUAUAAUUUAUACGGACGCGUUAUUAGUUUCUUAUUUUUUAUUUUUUUUUAUUUUAAAUAUUCGCUUUCGGUACAGAGUAGAAUCAGUGCUUCUCUCAAGAGAAUACGGCGAUCAUCCAUCACGCGAAGAGAUUUCUUCCGUCUUGAUGACAACCUUCCCUUCUCGAUGACUUCUGGGCUACAAUAAGAGUGAAGCUAUUCGUCGCAUCGUAUGGUGAGUCGCAUGCUUUUUGGUUCCUCCGGUCACUCAAUCAUGUCGUAGGAUGAAAGAUCCGAAUCGACACGAGUGAUUGGUUGUAUACGUAGAAUUUUGCACGAGCACAAUGACC